rnacentral:rRNA from 1 species
UACAGAGACCUCAAGCGUUAUCCGGAAUCAUUGGGCGUAAAGCGUACCGAUAGGUGGUUUUACAAGUCAGAAGUGAAAUUCCAAAGCUUAACUUUGGGUCUGUCUUUUGAUACUGUAAAACUAGAAGGGCAAAGAGGAAGCUGGAACAAACGGUGUAGUAGUGAAAUGCGUUGAUAUCGUUUGGAACACCAAUAGCGUAGGCAGGCUUCUGGGUGCCACUUGACACUGCUAGGACGAAAGCGUGGGGAGCGAUAAGG